rnacentral:tRNA from 2 species
GCGGAUGUAGUUUAGUGGUAGAACUUCAGCCUUCCAAGCUGAUCGUGAGGGUUCGAUUCCCUUCAUCCGCUCCA